AGGAUGAACGCUGGCGGCGUGCUUAAUACAUGCAAGUCGAACGAAGCUCCUUUUCUUCGGAUGAGGAGUCUUAGUGGCGAACGGGUGCGUAACGCGUUGGUAACCUGCCCCAAAGAGGGGGAUAACAGUUCGAAAGGACUGCUAAUACCCCAUACGAUCAUCAGGGUUAGAUACUUGAUGAUUAAAGGAGUAAUCCGCUUUGGGAGGGGCCUGCGUCCCAUCAGCUAGUUGGUAGGGUAAUGGCCUACCAAGGCGAUGACGGGUAGGGGACCUGAGAGGGUGGCCCCCCACACUGGCACUGAAAUACGGGCCAGACACCUACGGGUGGCAGCAGUAGGGAAUAUUGGACAAUGGGCGAAAGCCUGAUCCAGCACGCCGCGUGCACGAUGAAGGUCUUCGGAUUGUAAAGUGCUUUUAAGGGAGAUGAGAAAGGACAGUAUCCCUUGAAUAAGCCUCGGCGAACUACGUGCCAGCAGCCGCGGUAAAACGUAGGAGGCAAGCGUUAUCCGGAUUUAUUGGGCGUAAAGCGCGUGCAGGCUGUUUGGAAAGUUGGAUGUGAAAGCUCCUGGCUUAACUGGGAGAGGUCGUUCAAAACUACCAAACUAGAGAAUGGGAGAGGGAAGUGGAAUUCCGGGUGUAGUGGUGAAAUGCGUAGAUAUCCGGAGGAACACCAGUGGCGAAAGCGGCUUCCUGGACCAUUUCUGACGCUUAGACGCGAAAGCUAGGGGAGCGAACGGGAUUAGAGACCCCGGUAGUCCUAGCUGUAAACGAUGUAGACUUGGCGUUGGCGGAGUUAAAUCUGCCAGUGCCGGAGCAAACGCGUAAGUCUACCCCUGGGGGACUACCACCCCAGGUUAAACUCCAAGGAAUUGACGGGGACCCCCCAACACGGAACGGGGGUUUAUCAUGCUCCCACGAAGAACGUUACCAGGGUUUGACAUGCAAGUGGUAGGAAACUGAAAGGGGACCGACCCUUCGGGGACUUGCCAGGGCUGCAUGGCUGUCGUCAGCUCGUGUCGUGAGAUGUUCGGUUAAGUCCGCUAACGAGCGCAACCCUCACUGUGUGUUAUACGUGUCACACGGGACUGCCGGUUUUAAGCCGGAAGGAAGGUGGGGGAUGACGUCAAGUCAGCAUGGCCUUUAUAUCUUGGGCUACACACACGCUACAAUGGUCGGUACAAUAGGUUGCCAGCCGCGAGGCGGACCAAUCCAUAAAGCCGCUCAGUUCAAUUGUAGCUGCAAUCGCCUGCAUGAAGAUGGAGUUGCUAGUAACCGCAGGUCAGCAAUACUGCGGUGAAUACGUUCCCGGGUCUUGUACACACCGCCCGUCACGUCAUGGAAGCUGGCAACACCUGAAGCCGGUAUCCUAACCGCAAGGAAGGAGCCGUCGAAGGUGGGGUCGGUGACUGGGACG
rnacentral:rRNA from 1 species